rnacentral:rRNA from 1 species
UACGGAGGGUGCAAGCGUUAUCCGGAUUCACUGGGUUUAAAGGGUGCGUAGGUGGAUUGGUAAGUCAGUGGUGAAAUCUCCGGGCUUAACCCGGAAACUGCCAUUGAUACUAUCAGUCUUGAAUACCGUGGAGGUCAGUAGAAUAUGUCAUGUAGCGGUGAAAUGCUUAGAUAUGACAUAAAAUACCAAUUGCGAAGGCAGCUGGCUACACGAAUAUUGACACUCAGGCACGAAAGCGUGGGGAUCAAACAGG